rnacentral:rRNA from 1 species
GACGAACGCUGGCGGCGUGCUUAACACAUGCAAGUCGAACGGAAAGGCCCUGCUUGCAGGGUACUCGAGUGGCGAACGGGUGAGUAACACGUGGGUGAUCUGCCCUGCACUUCGGGGUAAGCCUGGGAAACUGGGUCUAAUACCGGCUAGGUGCCAAUUUUAGUGAGAUGGUUGGAAAGUUUUUUCGGUGUAGGAUUAGCUCGCGGCUUAUCAGCUUGUUGGUGGGGUAAUGGCCUACCAAGGCGGCGACGGGUAGCCGGCCUGAGAGGGUGGACGGCCACAUUAGGACUGAGAGACGGAGCAGACGCCUACGGGAGGCAGUAGAGGGGAGUAUGGCACAAUGGGCGCAAGCCUGAGGCAGCGACGCCGCGUGGGUGAUGACGGCCUGCGGGUUGUAAACUCCUGUCGCUAGGGACGAAGCUUUUUGUGACGGUACCUAGAUAAGAAGCACCGGCUAACUACGUG